GACGAACGCUGGCGGCGUGCUUAACACAUGCAAGUCGAACGGAAAGGCCCUGCUUUUGUGGGGGGCUCGAGUGGCGAACGGGUGAGUAACACGUGAGUAACCUGCCCUUGACUUUGGGAUAACUUCAGGAAACUGGGGCUAAUACCGGAUAGGAGCUCCUGCUGCAUGGUGGGGGUUGGAAAGUUUCGGCGGUUGGGGAUGGACUCGCGGCUUAUCAGCUUGUUGGUGGGGUAGUGGCUUACCAAGGCUUUGACGGGUAGCCGGCCUGGGAGGAUGACCGGCCACAUUGGGACUGAGAUACGGCCCAGACUCCUACGGGAGGCAGAAGUGGGGAAUAUUGCACUAUGGGCGGAAGCCUGAUGCAGCAACGCCGCGUGCGGGAUGACGGCCUUCGGGUUGUAAACCGCUUUCGCCUGUGACGAAGCGUGAGUGACGGUAAUGGGUAAAGAAGCACCGGCUAACUACGUG
rnacentral:rRNA from 1 species